rnacentral:misc_RNA from 1 species
GGAAGUAAAAGUCGAAACAAGGUUUCCGUAGGUGAACCUGCGGAAGGAUCAUUAUUGUAUAACCGAGGUGCGAGGGCUGUCGCUGACCCGAAAGGUCGUGCACGCCCGAGUGCCCUCACACACAUCCAUCUCACCCCUAUUUGCACCACCGCGUGGGUCCCCCUUUGGCUUGUUCGGAGGGGGGCUUACGUUUUCACACAAACUUUGUAUGCAGUGUAGAAUGUAUUUUUUGUUUUUGCGAUCACGCAAUCAAUACAACUUUCAACAACGGAUCUCUUGGCUCUC